rnacentral:lncRNA from 1 species
AUGUAAGCCUACUUUAUAUAAUGAUUCAGAAGAGACUGAUUGUCAGGAAUAAGAAAGGGAUAGAGGCAAAAGAGAGCCCCCAGAAGGAGGAAAGUGGAAAAAUUUUUCAUGGGAAAGUGGAAAGGCAACCAAGAUAAACUUUGCUUCAUAAUUUUAUCUUUCCUGCCUUGGACCUGAAUUCAGUCUUGGUUCUGUGAUCUUGCCCUUGAGUCCCAGGUGGCCACUUCUGACCACUUUGGAUUUGGUGCUCAUGCCUGGUCUCCUCCCCAGUAUCAGGACCUCUGGUUGGCUUCCCAAGCUCUAUAUUGGUCACCCCUUUGACCCUAAGUAUCUCCUGUUGCCCUUUAUGAGAACUCUCCUGUUGCCCUGUUCCCUGGGAACCUAACCAUCCUCUUUCAGAAUGAGCAGCAUUGUUGGGGCUGGGGAGACAUCAGACACUGAUUUUGGCUGCCCUCGGACUGCCUGGGCACCUUGGCAGUUGCUUCAUGUAGCUUGAUUCCUUCUUUUCUGGAUUACAUUAUGGCUCAGUUCUUGCUCUCUUUUUGUGACUUUACCAACUCCUCCCCCUAAUAAUUUCAAGGGACUCAAGUUAUAGAUAGAAGAGACUUCUGAAAUUUCAGCAUAGAAUAGGCUUGUGAACAUGCAGUUCAGAGAGGAUUUAUAGUGUACAGAAGAUUUUAUGUCUUGCUUUUAAGCAUCUAAAAAUGUUUCAUUUGGAAGGGUCUUGCUUUGUCGCCCAGACUGGAGUGCAGUGGUGUGAUCUCGACUCACUGCAGCCUUGACUUCCUGGGCUCACGGGAUUCUCCCGCCUCAGCCUCCGGAGCAGCAGGGACCACAGCCUUCAAAUGUUUAUCUGGUGUGACUGUAUUAUGCCCUCAGAGAGUACUGUAUGUUGCCCAGGCUGGCCUCGAACUCUAGGCUCAAGUGAUUCUUCUGCCUCAGCCUCCCAAGUAGCUGGGACUACAGAUGCAAUCACCACCACACUUGGCAGUGUGCCGGUCCAACAAAAGCCCUUGGGUCUGUUUGACUUGUUCAAGUGUCCACUGUGGAAGGUAUGUGAAUGGCCAUGCAAAAAAACAUUAUGAAGAUGCACAAGUACCUUUAACCAACCAUAAGAAAUCAGAAAAGCAAGAUAAAGUUCAGCACACAGUAUGUAUGGAUUGCAGUAGCUACAGUACAUACUGUUAUCGCUGUGAUGAUUUUGUGGUUAAUGACACCAAGCUGGGACUGGUACAGAAAGUCAGAGAACACUUACAGAACUUGGAAAACUCAGCUUUCACAGCUGACAGGCAUAAG